AACACUCCCAGCGCGGACCCAUGCAAGUAUUGCACGUGCGUAGACGGCAAGGUGGAAUGCGAAGACUACACGUGUCCGAAACUUACGUGCGCGGAAUACGACCGGAUUAAACCGAACGGAAAAUGCUGCCAAGUGUGUAAAGAAAAGAAACCGUGCAAAAAUGGACCAUAUGGCAAAGAUUACGAUGAUGGUGACUAUAUCCCAGACUAUAAACCGUGCAAGAAAUGUCGCUGUAACUAUGGCAACAUCGAAUGCGAAGAUAGUAAGUACGGUUGCUAGGCAAACACCGAAGACCCAACGACAACUGAAUCUUGCAGACGACAUUAUUAAUAAGUAGUUUUGAAUU